rfam:Syntrophobacteraceae bacterium CG2_30_61_12 cg2_3.0_scaffold_14534_c, whole genome shotgun sequence.
GGGGGCGAACAGGGUUCGACGGGGGUAAAGAAGUUUAAGUGGCAUGCCGGGUUCCUGACUGCCCGUAAAAUAGCCGNNNNNNAAGACAAACGCAGACGAUUACGCGUACGCCGUAGCCGCUUAGCCGGCUACCGUUCCCCCGACCGAAGCCCGUAAGGCCGGAGCGGAGCGUCGACUCAUCGGGCUGGUUCCCGGAUCCUCGCCUGUGGCUCCGGGAAUGAGACCAAUCAGGCUAGCUUUCGGAGCAUCCUGCCCGUCGGGAGAUUCCGGAUGCGAAACUCAGAACGCGGGAUAAGCAUGUAGAAGCUUCAGCGGAAUGCCUUCGGACGCGGGUUCGAUUCCCGCCGCCUCCACCA